GUAGGAGGCGAGCGUUAUCCGGAUUCACUGGGCGUAAAGCGCGUGCAGGCGGUUUGGUAAGUUGGGCGUGAAAGCUCCCGGCUCAACUGGGAGAGGUCGUUCAAUACUACCAAACUAGAGAAUAGAAGAGGAAGAUGGAAUUCCCGGUGUAGUGGUGAAAUGCGUAGAUAUCGGGAGGAACACCAGUGGCGAAGGCGGUCUUCUGGUCUAUUUCUGACGCUCAGACGCGACAGCUAGGGUAGUAAACGGGAUUAGAGACCCCGGUAAUCCUAGCCGUAAACGAUGUGAACUUGGCGUCGGUGGCUUAAACACCAUCGGUGCCGAAGCAAACGCGAUAAGUUCACCGCCUGGGGACUACGGCCGCAAGGUUA
rnacentral:rRNA from 1 species